rnacentral:tRNA from 1 species
GGCCGGUUGGUGUAGUUAGUUAUCACGUAUCCUUAACACGGAUAAGGUCCUGGGUGCAAACCCCAGACUGGUCA